AUCCUCUCAUCUUGGCGCUUUGACGCUUGUGCGUGGAAGUGUAUGCUUCAUGGGAGGGAAAGGAUGCAUUACCGAAUGGUACUGCGAUCGGAUGAACUUCGGUGUUGGCCGAAUUACAAAAGGCUGAUGUCAUCCUCUGCGUCCGAAACAUCC
rfam:Ascaris suum AG00381, whole genome shotgun sequence.